rnacentral:lncRNA from 1 species
GACCCACGGCUUGGUUAUAAAGUUUCCACGAGUGGCUAGCCACGACACUUGCUGGAACACACUAACUAAUCUGGGAGCUGCAAAAUCGCCUGAUUACACAGCAAACGGUUAACAACUGUUGGGACACUUGCGCAUAUAGGAACGGCGUGGACUAAACCAAGGCAUUUCUAAAUAUAGCAUCCAACUCAAAGUGCAGGUGUUAAGGAGUUGACGAUGGCAUCCCAUACAUUCCUGUUGACGCUCUCCGUAGCUACGCUACUGGUAGCCGUCCUCGGGGCUGGCUAUGAAGAAGACACAGAUGCGCUGUACCAGAUGUUCAACGACGCUAUGCAGAAGAGAGAAGACGGAGGGUUGAUGCAGUAUCUUGUAGAGAAACGAGGAAGAGGUGGAUCUUCAAGAAGGUGUCAGUAUAAGGGUUCGAUGUGUACCUGUGACUACAGAUUCGGCCCACUGAAUGCAAGACGGUACGCUAACUGCAUGAAGGUUACGUCAUGAGAGAACAAUUGGAGUAUAAAGAAUGACAGCGUCGACAACACCUUGCAGCAACACAUCGGAUUAUUCAUAAUUCUGGGAGUACCUGAGAACACAAAUUAAGGCUGACAUGUUAAUUCAAUGUAAUCUUAAAUUAGAAACUUUACUUUUCAAUGAAAUAUUUGAUUGCAAAUUCAUCCUUCUUUAGUAUUUUGUUGGUUUCGAUUCUAGGUAUUUUUGCCUUCACGUCGGCCUACGCUUAGGCAAUUAUUUGUUAUUUCUUAAAGAACUAUUUUUCAACCUGAACAACAGUGUGAAAUUGUACUUUGAUUGAUUUUUAUUUUUAUUGGAAUGUUUUCAGAAAGUAGACCAAGAGAAGAUGAAAAUCAGACAACAUUAAAUCAUAAAUACAAAAACUGCACUGUCCGCUAUUGAAACGAGAAAAAUGACGGAAUACAAAACUUUAGGUGUGGUUAUGUUUGUUUAGAUUUGUGAUCUUUAUGGGAAUUAAUAUGUAUUAAGCUUCUAAGGAGUUAGUUAAAGUGCAACUAUCCAACGAUAAAGGAUCAGCAUUAUGACAGAGCUUAUCAUGUUUAUGACAACAUAUUUUGGAUAAAGUCAAAUUAUUUUCUUUAAUAUGACUUAAAUAUUUUUGGCAUUUCUUUCAUAUUACCUAAAAGUUUUUGCCAUUUGCUAUUAUGAGGAAUAUCCCUUUGUAAAAUUCGCUUCUUACCCAAGUUUUCAAAUUUGUCUGCCAAAUUUCUGUUUCUAAUUUUAUCACGUUUAUUUGUUCAUUUCUGAAUGACUUUUUUUUUAAAUUCGCAUUCUUUUUUAACUUAAGUCAAGUUUCUUUGUUCAAACGGUGGUCAGUGUGGACCUUUUGAGUUGCAGGAUAUCACCAAAAAAAUCCAGAAAAUGUGAAAUGCAAGAAUUGGAUCAGGAGACGUAGGCCUAUUAUUCGAAUUGGUGAAAAAGUUUUCAAUUUGUUGCAAGUGGCACACUUUUGGGAAAUGUGAAGAAGCAACGCAACAGCACUGUAAAUAAUUGUAGUACAUAGCUCGCUGAAGCACGUAAAGGCCUGGGCUAUAUGCUGUGCGACUGCCGUGCCAAACUUCAUCAAAAUGAGCGUGGCAAAACAGCCCGGCAGUUGCGCUGAGGAACUUAGAGCAUUGUCUUGAUGCUGUUCUGAGCGCUCAUAGCGCGGCUUACCGCGCCGAGCUAAAGGACUUGACACUAAACGCUGUGCUAUUAAAAUGUUUCACGUUUGGCGCUGCAAUAGCAUGGUGUACAGCCUAGGCCUAACUUGCAUUAAUGUUUAAAAAUUAACAAAUGAAACUGUGUUAAAUCAAAAGAUAAAUUCCGAUCAGAUAUUAAAUUGGGUGGUCAGAGCACAUUGUUGAUGUUCGAAAGAUGUCCUUUUCCGUCGUAUUUUAUAAAAGAUUUGUUAAGUAGACGUGAAAUUCGGUAAAAGAAAGUGAGCUACUUUUAUACUUUAAGUUUGACCGAAUACUUGAUAUUACAGACAAUGAGACGGAUAUGUGUAUACGUCACCAAAUAUUUCUAAACGUCAGUGGCGUAACCAUGUUGCUAUUUCUUUUCAUUUUUUAUGAAUUGAAAGCGUCAACCAUUUAAAGUGCUUUUUCACUUCCUUCUUGCGGAGAAGGUUGAGUGAAUUCUCUUACGGAUGAAAAAACAAUUAGAGAGUCAUUAAAACAAUCCCAAUAACCCCAACCCCAAUUCUUAAGUGAACGCGUCACUGAUCGUACUCGUGUAUUACACUCAAAGGACACACCCCCAGAUCUGCACACAGUAAUGACCAUAGGCUGAGAGUGUUGUGGCUUGGGCUGGAAUGGAUCGGCUCGAAGCUGAAGCUUCUUGCCGUAGACACGCUCGUUAUCGCCUAGCCGCAGACAGUUCAGUCGGGCACGGUCUUACUACUUUCCAACAUCAUACAAUAAUGAGAGCAGAACAUGGCUCCGCUUUUUCCCCCAAAAUAAAAUGGCUAGAGUUAAGUUUAACGCAUGUUACCUUGCCCAUUUGACGCCUUUAGGUUAUGCGUACACGCCUACUUUCUGCCUAAAACACCACACACUUCAGCAAGUAGGAUUUUUUUAACAAAGAAUACUUCAUAGGUAAGAAAGUAAUUGGUAUAUUCAUUGAUCUAAUAUCAGCACCAACACCCUAAGAAAACAACACCAUGAAAUAAAAGCAAGGAUGUCAGGACAGCGAG